AACGAACGCUGGCGGCAUGCCUAACACAUGCAAGUCGAACGAGACCUUCGGGUCUAGUGGCGCACGGGUGCGUAACGCGUGGGAACCUGCCCUUAGGUUCGGAAUAACUCCCCGAAAGGGGUGCUAAUACCGGAUAAUGUCUUCGGACCAAAGAUUUAUCGCCUUUGGAUGGGCCCGCGUUGGAUUAGCUAGUUGGUAGGGUAAAAGCCUACCAAGGCGACGAUCCAUAGCUGGUCUGAGAGGAUGAUCAGCCACACUGGGACUGAGACACGGCCCAGACUCCUACGGGAGGAAGAAGGGGGGAUGAUUGGAGAAGGGGCGAAGGCCGAAGCCAGCAAUGCCGCGUGAGUGAGGAAGGCCUUAGGGUUGUAAAGCUCUUUGACCCGGGAGGAUAAGGACAGUACCGGGAGAAUAAGCGCCGGCUAACUCCGUG
rnacentral:rRNA from 1 species